GACGAACGCUGGCGGCGUGCUUAACACAUGCAAGUCGAACGGAAAGGCCCUGCUUGCAGGGUACUCGAGUGGCGAACGGGUGAGUAACACGUGGGUGAUCUGCCCUGCACUUCGGGAUAAGCCUGGGAAACUGGGUCUAAUACCGGAUAGGAGCCAUUUUUAGUGUGAUGGUUGGAAAGUUUUUUCGGUGUAGGAUGAGCUCGCGGGCUAUCAGCUUGUUGGUGGGGUAAUGGCCUACCAAGGCGGCGACGGGUAGCCGGCCUGAGAGGGUGGACGGCCACAUUGGGACUGAGAUACGGCCCAGACUCCUACGGGAGGCAGCAGUGGGGAAUAUUGCACAAUGGGCGCAAGCCUGAUGCAGCGACGCCGCGUGGGGGAUGACGGCCUUCGGGUUGUAAACUCCUUUCGCUAGGGACGAAGCUUUUUGUGACGGUACCUAGAGAAGAAGCACCGGCUAACUACGUG
rnacentral:rRNA from 1 species